GGAGAACCAGCAUCCUACUUCUAACACCACUGAAGAAUUUCACCUGCAUUUGUGCUUCUUGUAAAUGGGAUCCUGCGGCGUGUUCUCUUGUGUGCCUGCCUUCUUCCACACACGGCAUGUCUGUGAGGCUCAUCCAUGUAUUGAGAGCUGAGAGGCGGCUGGCUCUCUUUGUGCCGGAGGGUAUUCCAUUGUGUGAAUGCACCACCAUUGAUUUCUCCAUUCUACAGCUGAUGGACAUUUGGGUUGCUUCCAGUUCGGGGCUGUUAUAAAGAGCCAGCUGCAUGGGUUUUCACACUGGUUGCAGUGUGCUGGCCAGUGCCGGUCCCCCUCCUCAAGUGAAAGCUUCGUGAAGCCAUUUGGAAUGGCACCGGCCCCCGAGCUCCCCAGACAGCAUUGUCAGACUCUGGCAGAUGCAGAUCUUAGAAGAGAAAGGCCGCAGCACUCCACCUGUGAAAACUGCCUCUUGUUUUCAUGGAAAAAAAAAAGUUUCUUUAAAAAAAAAAAAAAGAUCAGCAACUGAGAACAGAAGUCAGCAUUGUUUGCAUAAUCCCAGAGUCUUGAGCAGCUGGCCAUGGGGAAUUUGGAUGGGAGAUAAUAAGGUAACUUAUCUUAUUGAAACAGGAUACAGCCUAACAGUUCUUGAACAAGGACCAGGGUGUACCCAGGGAAGUGGGGAAACGUAUAAGCUGGGAGAGGAAAUGCUGCCAAGAAAGCCUAACUGAACCAUCUCAUCUCAGUGGGUGAAGGGUCUAAAAUGAGGGCCAAAAGCCAAGAUUCUUCAUGCUAAAAGUUGUGAGCUAAAGUCUUCCCUGACCGAGCAGGUUCACAUCACCACCCUGGACCACCUAGAGGAUGCUGCCCGAACUUCCCAUGAAAUUCUGCUUCUCAUCGGCAGAGAAGCGGUGAUAAGUGCACCCUUCCAGGACUUUAUGGUCAAAGAGACACCAGAAUGGAAGUACAGGGAGCACUGAAUAGAGGCUGAUCAAAUGCUAUGUCCCCCACAGCGCCCAUGGGUUGUGACUUAGAUGGGACACAAAUGUAUUUGCUUAAAUAGGCUAUAAAGUGAGAAUUGGGACUUCCAGGCAGCUUCUUUACCACUAGGGCCACAAAUAAACAGGCAAACCCAGAGACAGGAGAUGAUUGGCUGGUGUAGGAAGAGCCGUGGGUCAUAGGUCCAGGAUUCCUCCCAGAGACAGGAGAUGAUUGGCUGGUGUAGGAAGAGCCAUGGGUCUUAGGUCCAGGAUUCCUCCCAGAGACAGGAGAUGAUUGGCUGGUGUAGGAAGAGCCAUGGGUCUUAGGUCCAGGAUUCCUCCCAGAGACAGGAGAUGAUUGGCUGGUGUAGGAAGAGCUGUGGGUCAUAGGUCCAGGAUUCCUCCCAGAGACAGGAGAUGAUUGGCUGGUGUAGGAAGAGCCAUGGGU
ensembl:lncRNA